GACGAACGCUGGCGGCGUGCCUAAUACAUGCCAGUUGAGCGCUGAAGGUUGGUACUUGUCCCAACUGGAUGAGCUGCGAACGGGUGAGUAACGCGUGGGGAAUCUGCCUUUGAGCGGGGGACAACAUUUGGAAACGAAUGCUAAUACCGCAUAAAAACUUUAAACACAAGUUUUAAGUUUGAAAGAUGCAAUUGCAUCACUCAAAGAUGAUCCCGCGUUGUAUUAGCUAGUUGGUGAGGUAAAGGCUCACCAAGGCGAUGAUACAUGGCCGACCUGAGAGGGUGAUCGGCCACAUUGGGACUGAGACACGGCCCAAACUCCUACGGGAGGCAGCAGUAGGGAAUCUUCGGCAAUGGACGAAAGUCUGACCGAGCAACGCCGCGUGAGUGAAGAAGGGUUUCGGAUCGUAAAACUCUGUUGGUAGAGAAGAACGUUGGUGAGAGUGGAAAGCUCAUCAAGUGACGGUAACUACCCAGAAAGGGACGGCUAACUACGUG
rnacentral:rRNA from 1 species